CGCUCCUUCGGGAGUUAUUAAAGUGGCGCACGGGUGAGGAACGCGUAGGUAAUCUACCCUCCGGCGGGGGACAACAUUCCGAAAGGAAUGCUAAUACCGCGUAAGACCACGCCCACUGCGGUGGAAGUGGUUAAAGACGGCCUCUUCUUGAAAGCUGUCACCAGAGGAUGAGCCUGCGUCCCAUCAGCUUGUUGGUGAGGUAAUGGCUUACCAAGGCGAAGACGGGUAGCUGGUCUGAGAGGAUGAUCAGCCACACUGGCACUGGAACACGGGCCAGACUCCUACGGGAGGCAGCAGUGAGGAAUAUUGGGCAAUGGGCGCAAGCCUGACCCAGCCACGCCGCGUGUGUGAUGAAGGCCUUCGGGUCGUAAAGCACUGUGGGGAGAGACGAACAAUUUCCGUCCUAAUACGACGGAGACCUGACGGUACCUCCUUAGCAAGCACCGGCUAACUCUGUGCCAGCAGCCGCGGUAAUACAGAGGGUGCAAACGUUGCUCGGAUUUACUGGGCGUAAAGCGCGUGUAGGCGGACUCGCAAGUCGGUUGUGAAAUCCCUGGGCUUAACCUAGGAACUGCAUCCGAAACUGCGUGUCUUGAGUAAUGGAGAGGGUGGCGGA
rnacentral:rRNA from 1 species